rnacentral:lncRNA from 1 species
CGGAGCCGAAGUACAGAAACCAUAUUUACAGGUACAUAUGACAGUGCUGCAGCGAUGAGCGGAAUUUUAAAAGGGAAGUUGGAAGAAAUUGACGGCUCCUCACCCUGCUCCUCUGUGCAAGAAUCCGAUGAUGAAGUUUUUAGCUCUGACAUUGCUGCCAGUAUUGAUAGGGUCAGUCUGUCCACUUCUAAUCAUUUCACUGGUGAGUAUCUGAGAUUCUAUUUCAGGUACUCUAAAUUGUGUUGUGUGGCUGAUUCUAGGCGUUUUUAUAUGUAUCCACUGGCUAUAUCUGCACUCAAGCUGUUUAUCAUAGCAGACUUAAUUUGCAAAACAUAACACCAUUUUGGUUAAUUAAGUCUCAGUAGUCUACUCUGUUUAUCUCCAUAGAGUGAGUAUGAAAGGCAGAAAUAGUCCAGUCAAAGGUAAGCAAAUGGCAAUUGAAAAUAAUUUCAUCUAUGCCUUCAGUUUUCUGAAAUAGAUCCAUCUUUUUGAAAUCUAGCCAUUUGAGCUGUUUUGAAUGUCUAAUACUGGUCAUUGAAUUGUGGAAUACUUGCAGUGCUGAAUAUGACAUGUUCACUUCCUAAGUGAGAAAACGAUGUUUGUUUUAAUUUAAAAGAAUGCUGCUCUGAAAUAAAAGCCUUGAAAACUGCGAUUCUAUAGUUUGGACACUAGUAAACCUCAGACCCAAGGCCAGGGUCAUGCACUACAGUAAAUGAAGCUUUCUACACAAACUUCUAAGCAGUUCAUAUUAAUGAGCAACCUCAUUUAACUUGGUGUGAUAUGUUCAAACUUAAAAUUAUAUCCAUUUCAAAUUGCAUUUCUUGCAACAGAUGCUCAUAUGAAGACUUUGAAACAGGCAAAUAUUUUCUGACAUCUCCACAUCCAUUCAACCCCAGUUGUUAAAGAAACAGAGAUUUUCAAAUUACUUUUUAGGACAGUUGACAUCAGGCAAAGCAAAACUAAAGAAGGUCAGUAGACGUCCCAGAAGUCCACCCUCACUUCAUAAAUAGAUGAUGGGUAUCAACUUCCUUUUAAAAGAGCAUUCCAUAAAUAAGGGUAAAAAUUAUCCAAUACAAAGAGAAGUAGUUUUUGUUUUGUUUUGUUUCAUGACAAUAUUUCUUACCAUUAUUUUCCUAAGGCAUUUGUGUUUGGGUUUUUUUUUUUUAGCUCACCAAAACAGCCAUUUAUGAUUCACACUGAAAUUUUACACUGUAACAAUGUGACCCCUCUAAUUCCAUUUUUAACCCUUCUGUCCCCCACCUCCAAGAAUUCAAAAGUGUGUUUGGUAUUCAUGAAUUCUCCCUCAACAUUGUUAGAAGCAUUUAGAAUAAAAAAUAGGUAAAUUGUAUACAUCCAUUUAGUCUCUGUAUUAUUUAUCUCUUGAUUAAAGUGAAACUUAUUUUUUAUGAGCUGGUAGAAAGUAUUGAAAAGCAAGGAGAAAGUAAAGGAACAACUUAAGAGAAGGGAGGAAACAAUAGCUGUUUUGAGAAGAAGAUUCUGUAGUUACGUAGGACAGUUAUCGUCAAUCAGUGGAUUGGGGGGAUAAGUUUUGUUUGAAAUUUAUCUAUAGCCUCUUUGCCUCUUCCUCUAAGUGGCUGUAGCCUUGUGGUAAGCACACACCUUGCUGUCACCGAGGAUACCUAUAAGAACCCUGAACAUUGAACAAUGCUUAGACUUCUUUAUUGAGUGAAUGGAUUAAUUUUUAGACAGUUUUCACACUUUUUUGAUAAAUAAAAAUUGUACAUAUUUAAUGGAAAGCAUGAUGUUUUGAUAUACUUAUUCAUUGUGAAAUGAUUACCACAUUCAAGCUGAUUAACAUUUCCAUCACCUCACAUACUUACCUUUUUUUCUUUUUUCUCUUUUCUUGGUGGUGGUGGUAAGAACACAAGAUCUACUCUCUCAGCAAAUUUCAAAAAUGUAAUACAUUUAAAAAAUAAUUUCAGACAUUUUUUUUUUAAACUGGAGAGAGUGAGUCCACUGGAUGUCCUUAUCCCUAGAAAAGCAACAGUACACAUUUAAAUUCAAGACCCUAAGGAACACCCUAUUAAAUAUGUUUUCUGUGUAUCUUGAGAAUGCCCCUUCUCUUAAGCCCCAGAGCACUGCAGGAGCUGCCUGGUAUUUCUCAACUUUCCCCCCUUUAGCCACUCCUGAAAAACACCAUCAGUCUAGACCAUAUUCCUUUGAGAUCCUUCUCCUCUAGUGCAGUGCAGCAUUUUCCACAUACCUAUAAUAUUUUUCAAAAACCUCCAGCAUGCUUACAACCUCCUUUGUGUCUAUACUUCUCCUUAAGUUACAAAUUGACUCUCUCCUGGAAAAAUCAAUUGCAGGGCUUCUCUAUGCAAGGUGCUUAUUGAUUUCAAGAGCUGUGAGUUCACAAAGUACCUAUAACAUCCAUUUAAACACCAUCAGGUCUUACAAUUGAAGCUCAAGUUACUUUCCACAAGAAAUUGAUGUUCUGAUGGUUUAGAGGAGUUUUAAAAAUUAUAGGUCAGGCACUUGCUAUGGGUACCUGAACAGUUCCCUGGAGGAUAAAAGUUUGAGUGGAGAGUGGUUUUAUUUUUUUAACUUCCAGCAUAUGGAAGUUCUGGGGCCAGGGAUUGAAUCUGAGCUACAGCUGUGACCUGUGCCACAGCUGCAGCAAUGCCAGACCCUUUAACCUACUGCCCUGGGCUAAGGAUCAAACCCACAACCUUGCAGUGACCAAAGCUACUGCAGUCCGAUUCUUAACCCACUUCGCCACAAAGGGAACUCCAAGCGUGGCUUUAUUUGGUAAAAUAAACUAUUUGAUAACUAUUGUGGUCUCUGGUCAUAACUUUUCUGUUUCAUCACCAUGUCAAGAGUCUAUGGAGGAGACAUCUACUGUUUAUAGAGGAGAUAUCAGGCUAGCAAAGAAAGCAGCUGCAAAGUUUGAUUAGCUUUCUUAGCACUUUUUGUUGAGAAUUUUCAAGGGUUUUGAGGGAAACAUUUACUAAUACUCUUCCCUAGGGAAACAGUGAUAUGCAAUCAUUGAAUGACUUGUAAUUGAAUGUGUGAUCAAAACCAUGAUUUGGGAUAAACAGUGGGGAGGAGGGUAAAAAAAGAAUAAAUGGAAAUGUGACAGUAACAGGAGGAUUUCCUGUUACUGUGGGUUAUUCUCAGCCUGAUCUCCAGUACAAAACCUUAUUGAUUAUUUUAUAAAAUUGGGCAAAUUGAGGAAGAAAAUUCAUUUUAAUUUUUUGAGAAGAUACAAUGAUCUUAUAUAUCAGAGUAAGACAAAAAAAAGUACGAGAGUCAAUCCUCAUUUUGAAUUAAAAGAAUGUUAGAGCUAGUAGAGCCUUUGAGAAUAUCUAGACUGACGCCCUUAUUUUACAGAUGUGGAGAACACAGCCCAGGGAGACUUAUUUGACAAGAAUCCAAAUGUGAGGUAGUGGCAGAGAACUUU